CUGUGUCGUCGUCCCCCCACAGUUUCGUCGCCUCCGAAGGACAGCAGCGGCCGCAGCCCCCCCUUCCCCCCCAUUCACUGCGUUCCCCUCUUUGAGUCCGCCCCGAGGGGAGGGGGUGUGGGAAAAAGGGGCGGAGCCUCCGCCCGCGCGGGAGAGAUCUCUCAGCCAAUCGAAGAGAAGGAGCGGUUCCCACGGUUCCAUUGAUGAAAAAAGGCGAAGAGGGACCUUUCCUUGGAAGCCCUCCCCGGCGGGGGGGGGGGCUGUUAAACUUGGGGGGGGGCUCAGUGUGAGAGAGGGAGGGUCCCAAAGGGGAUCAGUGUGAUUGGGG
ensembl:lncRNA